rnacentral:rRNA from 1 species
GACGAACCGUGCGAACGUUAUUCGGAAUCACUGGGCUUAAAGCGCGUGUAGGCGGGGCGGAACGUCGGUCGCUGAAAUCCCCCGGCUCAACCGGGGAAGGGGCGCCGAUACGACCGGCCUGGAGGGACGUAGGGGGAGCUGGAACUUCCGGUGGAGCGGUGAAAUGCGUUGAGAUCGGAAGGAACGCCCGUGGCGAAAGCGGCAACCUGGUCCUUGACUGACGCUGAGGCGCGAAAGCGUGGGGAGCAAACAGG